rnacentral:rRNA from 1 species
GACAGAGGUCCCGAGCGUUAGGCGGAAUCACUGGGCUUAAAGCGUGUGUAGGCGGAUUGGUAAGUACCUUGUGAAAUCCCACAGCUUAACUGUGGAACUGCUUGGUAUACUGCUUAUCUUGGGCCACUUAGGGGCUACCGGAACAAACGGUGGAGCGGUGAAAUGCGUAGAUAUCGGGAGGAACACCAGUAGCGAAGGCGGCUCGCUGGGCCAUUCCUGACGCUGAGACGCGAAAGCUAGGGGAGCGAACAGG